AUUAAUUUGUGUGUGAGAGAAUGUGCAUGUGUAAGAGAGUCAAAUCAGUGAGAGUGUGUGUGUUUGUCAGAGAUUGUAUCUGUCAGUGUGUGUCAAAUGAGUGAGUGAGUGUGUCUGUCAGUUAGUGUGUGUGUUUGUUAAAUCAGUGAGGUAUGUCAGAGCAUAUCUGUCAGUGACUAUGUGUAUCAGUGUAUAUGUAUCUCAGAGUGUUUGUCUGUCAGUAAGUGUGUGUGUGUGUGUGUCAGUCAAAGAGUGCUGGUUAAACAGUGUGUGCACCAAUGAUUGUGUCUGACAUACACUCACUGACACACAAACCCACUGACAGCAUAUGCGUAUCAGUGAGAGUGUAAGUCUGUAAUUUAAGAUGUUUGCCAAUGACUGCGUGACUGUCAGUGUGUGUAUGUCAG